rnacentral:rRNA from 1 species
CCUACGGGGGGCAGCAGUGAGGAAUAUUGGUCAAUGGACGCAAGUCUGAACCAGCCAUGCCGCGUGCAGGAUGACGGCUCUAUGAGUUGUAAACUGCUUUUGUACGAGGGUAAAUCCCGAUACGUGUAUCGGUUUGCAAGUAUCGUAUGAAUAAGGAUCGGCUCAUUCCGUGCCAGCAGCCGCGGUACUACGGAGGAUUCAAGCGUUAUCCGGAUUUAUUGGGUUUAAAGGGUGCGUAGGCGGUUCGAUAAGUUAGAGGUGAAAUCCCGGGGCUCAACUCCGGCACUGCCUCUGAUACUGUCGGGCUAGAGUUUAGUUGCGGUAGGCGGAAUGUAUGGUGUAGCGGUGAAAUGCAUAGAGAUCAUACAGAACACCGAUUGCGAAGGCAGCUUACCAAACUACGACUGACGUUGAGGCACGAAAGCGUGGGGAGCGAACAGGAUUAGAUACCCUAGUAGUC